CUGACCUUACGUUACACACAUCACGUCUUUCUAUUUGUCACUAGUUUAGUUUUUCCUCGUUAAAACUCGGACAGAAUGGCGAGUGCGGUGGCUAGAUUAACGGUUAAAAGUGGCGCUAUAAUUGCCCAGCGGUCGAGUGUAGGCGUGGCCGUUGGCCGAUCGGCCAGAUUUGCCAGCAGUACGUCGAAUCCCAGUGGAAUUCCGGGGAAAAAAUCGCGACUCUUGCUGACAAUCGUAGGUGGCAGUGCGGUAGCCGCCUUAGCGGCUUUCAUUAAACUACGAUCCGCGGGAAAUCCCGUCAAUGCAGUUAGCCUGAAAAGGCGCAUGCGCGACGAUAGCGAGCUGGAGAAUGUGAAGCUAACGGCUCGGGAGCGACGCUUCAUCAAGUUCGCAUCCGUGGAGUUUGACGACCAGCUCUACAUGACCCCGCAGGACUUUCUAGACUCCGUUGUGGAACAGGAGCCGCGACCUCGCUUAAAACGUCGACAGCUCUCCAGCGACGAGGUCGACAAAUACAAGGACGGUACUCCCGCUUUGAAAAAGGGCUCAACUCGACUAUUUCGCAACCUAAGAGAUAAAGGCAUUGUCUCCUAUACGGAAUAUUUGUUUUUGCUCUCCAUUUUAACAAAGCCAAAAUCUGGAUUUCGCAUUGCCUUUAACAUGUUCGACACCGAUGGAAAUCAGCGGGUGGACAAGGACGAGUUUCUAGUGAUAAUUUCCAUUUUGGCCGGCGCUUUAAAAGACACUCAAAAUGUCGAUCCACAAACCAAGCAAAUUCUGUCGCGUUUAGUUUCCUACGAUGAGCAAAGUCAAAUGACGAAACCGAUGGCAGUGCCACAAACCAAAAGGGGUCUAAUGGAGCGCAUUUUUAGCGGCGCUUGGAAGGAGAAGCACGGCGAGAAAGAGCCGGAAGAGGAGUCCGAGUCCUCAACGCCCACUCCCCUGGAGCAGAACUAUGUGAACGAUGGCGAGGGACUGCAGCGGCGUCAUAUGGUGCCCACCACCUUGCAACUGCACUUCUUUGGAAAGCGGGGUACUGGCGUGAUCAACUACGACAACUUCUACCGCUUCAUGGACAAUUUGCAGACGGAGGUCCUCGAACUAGAGUUUCACGAGUUCUCCAAGGGCAACCAAGUCAUAAGCGAGCUGGACUUUGCCAAGAUCCUGCUGCGGUACACCUAUCUGGCCACGGAUGAGUAUGAUGUCUUCCUGGAGCGACUGCUCGAGCGGGUCAAAGAUGAGAAGGGCAUAUCGUUCCAUGAUUUCCGGGACUUUUGCCAUUUCCUAAACAAUCUGGAUGACUUCACGAUCGCCAUGCGCAUGUACACUCUGGCUGAUCGGGCCAUUUCGAAAGAUGAAUUCUCACGCGCUGUGAAGAUCUGCACCGGCUACAAGCUCAGUCCCCACUUGAUCGACACCGUGUUUGCCAUCUUCGAUGCGGAUGGCGACGGUCUGCUGUCCUACAAGGAGUUCAUUGCCAUCAUGAAAGACCGCCUGCAUCGCGGCUUUAAAGUAAGUGGUCGUUUCUUUGAUUACAACGAAGCUCUGGACGGCUAUGAUGAACCCGCGUAUCCCAUGUUUGUGGCCUGGCAACAUCGGGUGUGCCGACACCUGGACUACUUCAUUGACAGCGAUGCGCUAUGGCACUGAUUUUUUAGUUUAAUUAAAGUUUUUCAUUGUUUCGUUUGCCGCUUGUGUCCUAAUCUCGCCGACCAGCAUUGAAUGUGUGUGUUUGUUUAGUUAAUUGUCUCGCCUGUAAGCGUUUUAUGCUUUAAGCUCAAUGUUUUACCUCCUUCACUUAUAUUUAAGUUCUUAAGAUAUCAAACCAACUCAAUUAUAUUUAUUUUACAUAUAUUAAUAUUAACUUUAUUUUGAAUUGGCCAUAUAACCAUUAAACACUGAAACAUGCACAGAAUUGGUUUUUUAUUUGUUGCACCUUUGUUUGUCCUUGAAAAACAUUUUACGAAAUGCAAAGGACAGACCUUUGAACUUUUUUAAUCAAUUUUUAGUAUCUAGAAACUGCUGUUUAUUUUUAUCAUUUCAUUAUCAUUAUCAUUAUCAUUUCCAUUUUCAUUAAAUUGCUUGUCGGAGGUCUGACAUUUGUGACUCACUACACGUCUAACAAUGAACUGUACGCCGAUUAUAUUGUCCAGGCUAAAAGUCCAAGCACCAGCUGAUAAGCAAAGCGUUGUAUUUUCUUUAUUUAGCAAGAUGUUGUAGACCCCGAUGAGCGUAUAAAGCAUUCCAUUGAGGUAGUCACGCCAAAAGAUGAAGAGUCAGUGGCCAAAUCGGAGGGCUGGGAUGCCUUUAGAUACUGUGUGCGCAAUGAGAUGAAAACCAUGAUGAAAUCGGCCAAUUAAAAUGGACAACGUAGCUGAAAUCGCACCAAACAACGAGCAAACAACGCCAAAGUGAAACAAAUUCUAGUUACAACAUUUUUCUUCUAAAGAACCAAAAUCUCGUGUAUAGUAAUAGUGAUUAUGUUUGUUGACCCCUUGAACUUUUAAUGAAUUUGUUACUGAACUAAGCUCCCAUCUCUUAUAGCCAAAAUUCUAAGAAAUUGUUUUAUAUCGGCAAUUACUAAAUGCCACCUUGUUACAUGUAUAGCGCAAAUAAAAUUGUUUUGUAAAAUUUGUAUUACAU